UGUCCCUGUCCUGAGUAGAGUGGCAUUUUGGCAUUUAUCUGGUGGAGUCCAUCUCAUCUCAGCCAGGGACAAAGCAACUCCUUAUUUAUCCCAGCUUGCCUUUCUGCCUGUGCCCAUGUCUGGUUCAUACCUUUGGAUAUAUGG
ensembl:snoRNA